AUUGUACGCUGGCGGCAUGCCUUACACAUGCAAGUCGAACGGUAACAGGUCUUCGGAUGCUGACGAGUGGCGAACGGGUGAGUAAUACAUCGGAACGUGCCUAGUAGUGGGGGAUGACUACUCGAAAGAGUGGCUAAUACCGCAUGAGAUCUACGGAUGAAAGCAGGGGAUCGCAAGACCUUGUGCUACUAGAGCGGCCGAUGGCAGAUUAGGUAGUUGGUGGGAUAAAAGCUUACCAAGCCGACGAUCUGUAGCUGGUCUGAGAGGACGAUCAGCCACACUGGGACUGAGACACGGCCCAGACUCCUACGGGAGGCAGCAGUGGGGAAUUUUGGACAAUGGGCGCAAGCCUGAUCCAGCAAUGCCGCGUGCAGGAUGAAGGCCUUCGGGUUGUAAACUGCUUUUGUACGGAACGAAAAGCCCUGGGUUAAUACCCUGGGGUCAUGGCGGUACCGUAAGAAUAAGCACCGGCUAACUACGUGCCAGCAGCCGCAGUAAGAC
rnacentral:rRNA from 1 species